AUACGUAGGCAGCGAGCGUUGUUCGGAGUUACUGGGCGUAAAGCGUGCGUAGGCGGUUCCGCAAGUUCGGUGUGAAAUAUCCCGGCUCAACUGGGAGGGUGCGCCGAAAACUGCGGAGCUUGAGCGUGGGAGAGAGAAGCGGAAUUCCUGGUGUAGCGGUGAAAUGCGUAGAUAUCAGGAGGAACACCGGUGGUGUAGACGGCUUCCUGGACCACUGCUGACGCUGAGGCACGAAAGCGUGGGUAGCAAACAGGAUUAGAAACCCUUGUAGUCC
rnacentral:rRNA from 1 species